AACGGGUGAGUAAUGCGUGACCAACCUGCCCCAUGCUCCAGAAUAGCUCUUGGAAACGGGUGGUAAUGCUGGAUGCUCCAACUUGACGCAUGUCUUGUUGGGAAAGUGUUUAGUGGCAUGGGAUGGGGUCGCGUCCUAUCAGCUUGUAGGCGGGGUAAUGGCCCACCUAGGCUUCGACGGGUAGCCGGCCUGAGAGGGCGGACGGCCACAUUGGGACUGAGAUACGGCCCAGACUCCUACGGGAGCAGCAGGC
rnacentral:rRNA from 1 species